rnacentral:rRNA from 1 species
GACGGGGGAUGCAAGUGUUAUCCGGAAUCACUGGGCGUAAAGCGUCUGUAGGUGGUCAAAUAAGUCAACUGUUAAAUCUUGAGGCUCAACCUCAAAAUCGCAGUCGAAACUAUUAGACUAGAGUAUAGUAGGGGUAAAGGGAAUUUCCAGUGGAGCGGUGAAAUGCGUAGAGAUCCGGAAGAACACCGGAGGCGAAGGCGGCUUGCUGGGCGUGAUCUGACGCUGAGGCGCGAAAGCGUGGGGAGCGAACAGG